rnacentral:tRNA from 1 species
GUUGAUUUAGUUUAAAUAAAACAUUAGAUUGUGGUUCUAAAAAUAGGGGUUAAACCCCCCUUAUUAACC